GAUGCGCAGCUACCUUACAAGUGUGUAUGAGGAAGGAGAUGCGUGGUCAGCUCUGAUUGCCAUGGUUCAGUCUCCCCAACAUGGUAGCAAGGUUUCUUCUUCUUCUCCCUUCUCACUCCCACUGUUACCUGCAAAAAGUUUCAGAUACACCAUGGUUGCUUCCUCUCCUGACUGCUACAUCACAGAUCCGCACACUUUGCAAGGCCAAACUGGAGAAAGGCGCGCUCUGAUUUGGCCAGUACCCACGAGAACCCACGUAUAGGCCAGUCACAUUUGAUUAAAUUUUGCUUGGCUGUGCGCCUGAUCAAAAUUUAAGUGACGAAUCCUACUUUACAUUACACAAAGACACUUAAAUUUUCUCCCUGUUUACAAUAUGAAUAGAUGGACACCCAAUAUGAAUCAAACAGUGACGAAUCAUAUUGUAAACUCCGCAUAAGUCUGCAGGUUUUUUCUACUGUGGAUCUCCCACGCUUACAGAAGUAGUCACGGAUGUUGCAGUAGAAUUCACCUUCUGCUUCCUCCUCUUACCGGCUCUCGUCAGCGGCAGCAGGGGAGAGGCGGCUGUAGCGACGUAUCCCGGUCGGACCCGUGCGUGGAGGAGACUUGCUCGGAUACACGGCCUUGCCUGACACAGACUCCCCAUGAAUCGCCCUCCUUUUGCCACAUAAAUAGGCCUCGAGCCCUCUACGGAAGCAUCCAAUCUCGCGGUCUGCAAUCUCGCCGUUCUAUCAACUCCGCCGGACGCCGUGCUCCAUAUGCGGACAUGAUGCCGUCGUAAAAUCUCGCGGUUCUACCAACAUCGCCGGACCGCCCGUGCUCCAUCUGAGAAAAUGAAUGACAGCGCUGACUUGACCAUUGUUGUGGAUUUUGAUAACCGACCUUAAAAAAGCCAAAUUUUCUGAGUCGGAUGUUUUGGAGCCAUCACCUACGCCACCAACCAUCUCAACAUUAUCUUUUGGUUUUUGAAUGUUUUGAAUCGAUUACUCUGGUAUUAAAUAGAUGUUGAUCCAUUGCGAUGACCUCCGUUACCAACCAGAUCGACAUCACCUCCGGUUUCUGAAUGUAUGCAUGAAAGACAAGUUUAUUCGAUGAUGAUAAAGCAACCAGAGGAAUAUGAAGAAAUAAAAGUUGAUGAAACAUACAACUACUUCCCAAUAGAUUAUGCACUGACCAACCAUGAUGUAUGUGCUCAUAUAGCAAUGGAAACAUUUUUUGAAAAAACAAUUACUGGUGAAGAUAGAUGAAAUAUCUGUCAAAAAGCAUCGCUAGAUGAAAAAGGGGUGGCUAAACGAUGAUGAGGCUUUCACUUGAUGAGUUGCCUAAAAGAAGUUCCGACACUCAGAGGUGACAACCACACUGAGUGGAGGAAGAAAGUUGAACUGGCGUUUGUUUGUGCUGAUCUUGACUGGGUUGUGGAGAAACCACAGCCGGUCAGACCCACAGAGCCAGUAAGAGAGGCCACUGAUGAUGAUGCUGCAUGGGCUAAAAAGAAAGGGGACUAUGCUCCUUUGGAGCAGUCCUACCUCAUAGAUAAUCAAAAGUGGGUCAAUGCAAAUAAAAAAUGCAUGGCCUUUAUAAAGAACACCAUUGAGAGCGCCAUUGUGGGCUCCAUUGCAGAGUGCACUUCCGCAGGGGAGUUGCUCUCAAAGAUAAAGAACCAGUUCACUGGCUCUUCAAAGAUAUAUGCCACCCAGGUGUUAGAGCAACUGGUGACAGAAAAAUACACAGGUGGUAGUCAUGGCAUAAGAGAGCACAUCCUCAGGAUGAGCAAUAUGGCAGCAAAGCUUAAGCCCAUGGAUGCGGAUCUGGAGAUCAAACCAGCGCUCCUGGUCCACCUUGUCAUGGCUUCACUACCCAAGGAGUUUGAAGCUUUUGUUGUGAACUAUAAUAUGUCACCUGGAACAUGGGACGUUGAAAAGACAAUAGCAAUGUGUGUUCAAGAAGAGGAGAGACUCAAAGCCUCACAUGGUGGUACACUCAACUAUGUGCAGGGUCACAAAAGAAAGAAUUACAAUCAAAACAACAAAAGUUCUCCUUCAAAGCCACAAGGAAAAGUUACCUAUCAGCAUCAGCGUCAGCAACAGCCUUUCUCAGUGGACAAAGACACUUGUCUCCACUGUAAGAAGACCGGGCAUUACAAGAAAGACUGUCCUGUUUGGCUAAAGUCGAUCAUGGCAA